GCAAGGUGGAUAGCUACGUCCUAGAACUGGUUCCUAUGUUUUUCUAGGGCAUGUGGACUAGGGAUGGGUUCUUGAGCAGAAGCCAGAAAGUUAAGAGUUUGUGCAGGAGUCACCUGAAGGGUCAGAAGUUAGGGUCCGGAAUGCUUAACAAGAUAUUCAGAUGGGAUGUGCACACCCCAACUCCAGGACUGAGGGGUGGAGAGACUAAUCCACAAAAUUUCCUUAAACUGCAGAAGCUCCAGGGCCUCCUGAAUCCCUGAUGGAACCAGGACUUCUUAGUCGUAAAAUUUAUUUUUCUUACCAUAAAAUGACAACUCCUUUAAUGUAGUGCAAUAUUUUGGUAAAUGGUGUUGAGUAAGAGAGAGGAUGACAGAAACCUAUAUUUAACCUAACAAGCAUUUUUACCACUACCAAGAGUAUUGAAAGUUUUGAAAAGACAAAAUUACUGUCUUUGAUUCAAUUUGCUGCAAAUUUGGAUCCCCCCCCCCAAUUGUAGUUAAAAGGUCUAGUUUGAUUCAGCAGUCUUGAAUUUUACUGUCUAAUUUGCCUCUUGCGCCCAAAUGAUGUUAUAUUUGGAUUUCUGAUGCUGCAAACAAAUCUAAUCAAAACAUGAGCUUAAGAAAUGAGGAUGUUGCUUGAAGCAAUGCCUGUGUAAACACUGAAGCUAAAAAUAGGUCAUCACGAACUAGAUUGAUAAGGGUCCGAGGAAAAAGGCACUGCCACCUGGGUGUGUCUAGGACUGACACCACAGCCCUGAUGCUUGGAGUUGACUCCGGGAAGCUGGUGAAGACUGGUGACAGUUUCUCCUCUACAGCAGUUAGACACCUCAUCUGUAAAGGGAAACAAGUGGCUGGCUGUGCAGGAGCAACACGAGAGAAUGGAAAGGCUGAGGCUGAGUACAGAGUCAGGGGUCCCCUGAAGGGUUGUAAGAGCGUUUGCAGCCAGAGAAAUAGCAGCUCUGAAAAUGUUGGCAAUGCGUGCUUACCUUUUACCCAAGGAAACUAUCAAAGCCAAACCCACUGAACCUUAAAGGUAUUUCAGAAUCACUAUUGGGAUGUCAGAUAUAAAUGCUCCCGAUGUUACAUAUGAUUGAUUCCAAGGUCGUAAAGGAAUGCACUGAAAGAGGAAUCAGAAUACAUUUAAGAAUUUCGUUGAAGUAAAGCUUAAGCGCAGUUUAAUGUCCUCUGCACUGUUCGUGGGUAAAGGAGCUGUUAGACCACUCACUUCCUCCACCGGGACUGGUAUUCUGCAAUGAGGGCGGCUAUAUGGAUGUAGCACAUAGCAGCCUGCAAUAAAACACAAACAGUGUCAGAGGAGGAUGCGGCACCCAUUUUACUAUUUGUCUAAUUAGGACUAAUGUCAUGUCAGAAUAUGUGGAGGAAUCUUUUAAGUAAGAGAAUUAAAGGUAAUCAAUUACAUUUCCAAAAAAAUUCACAAUCAAAAAUAAAAUGCAUACUUGGGAUUGUCUUUCUUGAUGUAAUUCUCAGGAAGAGCUGGCCUGAAGAAUUUUCCCAAAGAUUUAUCUCCCUUAAUAUCUAAGUUUCUCUCUCUCUUAAUAUUUACAGGGGUGGGCAAAACUAGUUUGAGGUUGUUCAUAAGGAAAAAGACA